rnacentral:lncRNA from 1 species
UCAUGAUUCUGUUGUUUUGAACACUUGAUUAGUUACAAAUUUAUUUCUAUUUUACAGGUCGAAUCAUUCCGGCGAUUUCACUCUCGAAAAACAGUCCAAGAUUCGGCAACCUCAUCAACCGCACACCAACUCCGUCCACCGUCACCUCCGCUAUUGGAUAUCCGAUCACUUUGCAUCCUAAACCUCGCGAAAAAAACUCGGAUGCGACCAACAUAAUCAUUCUCCAUCGUAGCUGUUUACGAUUUCGCCACCCUAAGGUUCAAAUUCCGCCAAACGGUUAUGACUCCUGUCCCCUCUUUUUCAUUUCGAACUGUCAUGAAUUUUUCUUUCUUUACUGGUUUACUAGUUUAAUCUAGAAUUAAUGUAUUUAUGAUUCUAAAUGAUCUUUUCUUUUUCAUUUGUUUUUUUGUUUUACCAAGACUGAGUGUGACAAUUAAGUAGAUAUAUGUUAUAUGAUUGUAUAAUGGUAUAGCUUUUAUUUUGAUUUUGUAUGAUUAAAUUUCCUUUUUGUGCAAUUGUUUUAAUAGAUGGUUGUGUAUAUAUUGACAACAUAUGUUUGCACCGUGUUGAUUACUCAGUUCAUAUUUUGAUUAUCAAUUGCGACUCAAUUAUGGGAUGUUUGGUGCUGGAUUUUUUUUGUUUUGAUUCUAUGGUAUUGUUACAGCUAUGUGAAUAUUAAUCUUGUGUUGCUGCUAUUGGAUUUUAAAAAAUAUAAAAAGUGAUCUUUUUUUUUAAAUGCAUACAUGUUGUUGUUGUUCAAUUUUAAAAGUAUAGAAGUUAUUCUUUUCUAAAUAUAUUUAAAUCAUAUAAUAUAGAAUUUUAAAAUAUAGAUUUUUUUUCUUUUCUUGCUUGCUGUUAUAAAGUAUAUAAACUUUUUUUUAAAAAUACAUUCAAAGUUAUAAAAGUAUAGAAUUUGAAAGUAUAGAAAUUUGUUUUUCUAAAUACAUCCAAGUUAUUCCAAGGUGCAUAAGUACUCCAAGGUUUCACAAUUUUUUUUCUUAUGCAGACAAAUUAGUUUUUAUAUAUGUUGCUAUUGAUAAAGUAUCAUAGGUUGUUUUGUGUUACGAUUAAUUCUUUGAUUCAACCAUUUUGUAUUUAUUUUGUUGUUUAUUUCAUUUUUUAUGUUUUAAUUAAAUUAAUUAAAGUUUUGUCUAAUUAGAUAAUUUUGAUUAAUUAAUUUUAAUUUAUUUGAUUAUUUGAUUUAAUUAAAUAAUUUCUGAGAAUUAAUCUUAAUUAACUUCUUUAAUCGAUUUAACCAAAUUUUUAUUAAUUAAUUUCCUUAAUUAGAUAAGCAUCGAUUUAUUUCACUAUCAGUUUCACAAAUCAUUUGCAAACCAUCAAUUCGAUUUCAUUCAUAAUCAAUCUCAUUUCGAGACCAUUUUCAUAAUUCAAUUCAUAUGCACAUGUAAAUACAAACCUCGGUCAAUAUCGAGUGCGCCUUUUCCAAAUCAAUUCAAAACACUUAAUCACAAUCAAAUACUGUUUCAUUUGGAAAUGAAAAGGGAGAUGGCUUUGAGUUUUCAAUUCCUCUCCUCGAUUAUUUGAAUACGAGUUCUCUUACUCGGUUAGUCAAAUGGUCGUCACUUCUAUUAACCUAAGCACAAACAAAUCAAAUCAUUUUAUAAUAAGAAACGGAAAGGGAGAUGACUUUGAGUAUUCAAUUUCUCUCCUCGAUUAUUUGAAUACAAGUUCUCUUACUUGGUUAGUCAAAUGCUUGUCGUUCUUCCACAAACUUCCAAACCCCGAUUGAAUCAAAACACUUUCAUAAUAAUGAAAUGAAAAAGGAGAUGACUUUGAGUCUUCAACUUCUCUCCUCAAUAGGUUGAAUACGAGUUCUCUUACUCGGUCAGUCGAACCAUUGUCAUUUUCUCACAAACAUAUACCUUAAUCAAAUCAUUUUCAUAACAAACUGUACGAAAAAGGAGAUGGUUUUGAGCUUUCAACUCCUCUUCUCAAAUGCUUGGAUAUGAGUCGUCUUACUCAGCCAUUCAAGUACUUGUCGUUCAUUCUAAAAUACGUCAACCAUGUACAACCUUAUUUUCAUAAAUACUCAGAUGAAACAGAGAGCGGUUUAGAGUCUUCUAUUCCCUUUCUCGAUUAUGAGGAUACGAGUUGUCUUACUCGAUUAUCCGGGUAUUCGUCAUCCAUUCAAAACACCUUAAUUAUUAUCCAAUCCUUUUCAUAAUUACUCAGAUGAAACAGAAAGCGGUCUAGAGUCUUCUAUUCCCUUUCCCUACUAUUAGGAUAUGAUUUGUCUUACUCUAUUAUCCGAGUAAUCGUCAUCCAACCAAAAAAACAUCAAACACAUCAAACCAACUCGUCACCCUCCGCGUGACCAAAACUCUGUUCAGAAAGAACACUAUUUAAUCCUUUCUAAUGCGCACAACAAACCAAUGCUUAAGCCUCCGCCGAGAGUAGACAAGCCAGCGUUUAGCCUUUAGAACGUGAUCUAAACAACUGUUCCAUAAAAGACACCAACCAACCGUAGUUCCCCGAACUACGAAUGCUCUGAUUUCCUUAUUCCCAUAAGGAUAAGUAGGCAGGAGAUUGCUGUAUCUUCGCGAGCACACUAAUAAAAAACCUCCCCUUUCUCCUUUCUGAGGUUCUCAUCCAUUUCUAUUCUCAAUAUUUUAUAACCCAAAGAUAACAAACAAACAUAAAUUAACACCCGAAACACACUAUUGAACUAAAAGGUUCCCGUUGAGUACAACGGACGUGAGGGGUGCUAAUACCUUCCCCUUGCGUAAUCAACUCCCGAACCCGAAUAUGGUUGCGAUGACCAUUAUUCCAUUAUUCAAAAGGUUUUAUCGAUAUUUUCCCAUUCCUUCAUUGGGAUAAAUAAAGUUCGGUGGCGACUCUGUUCGAACGUAAUUUUUUCCGCGACCAUCGCGAGGAAUCGUAUUUUUCGAGAUGCGACAGAUGGCGACUCUGCUGGGGACAUAGCUCCAAGCAAAAGAGAGUGAGGCCUAAUUUAGUUCAGUUUUUGUAUUGUGUGUUCAUCUUGUUUGUUUAUCUGUUAUUUUUUUAUUGUUAUUAUUAUUCUGUCAUAAUUAUUAUAUUGUGAUUUAUUGACUAUGUCUUAUUGGGGGUUCUCUGGUUGGUGAUACUUCGUGAGAUAGGCUCUCCACCCGAGUCUGAGGAAAACCAUAAGAUUAAGUUGGUGGUUGCAUAGUGGGAGCCCACAAGGAAUCUUCCUUGUUGGGAAGAAACGAAGACCCCGCCUUGAGGAGAUUCUCUUGAGAUAUUAUUGCCCGACGAGUUUUUGUCACGACGAUAGUAUUUUCAAGUUGGUUCAAUGACUCUAGGGACCUUUUAACCCACUCUAUCCGGCGGUUAUGUAGUAUUAACCUACGAAGUUUCAGACUUGUUGGGUUAAUACGAAAUCCCCAAUCAGAUGAGAUCCCUUGGACGUAUUACUAUCUUACAGUAAUAUUUCCAACCUCGAUCUAUGACUCUGAGAACCUUGUUAGAACCCUGGACUCGAGAGUCUAAGUAGAAUCCUCAUGGAGUUUUCCUUGUUUGGAUAAUACGAAGACCUCACCUAGACGAGAUCUUCUUAAGGAUAUUAUUGUCCGACGAGUCUUCGUCACGGCAGUGACGUCCUCAAGAAAUAUCCAUAUAAGGAUAUUAUUGUCCGACGAGUCUUCGUCACGGCAGUGACGUCCUCAAGAAAUAUCCAUGACUCUGGGAACCUACCAACUGUAGAGCCUACCCAUGGGGUUCCAUUAAUCAGAGAUACCUGUCAUCUACCCGUUAUUUUGAUCCAUCUGAGAACACCUUAAACUUAUGAUCCUAAACAUGUCACUACAUUCAUACACAUAUUAUUGCAUUUGCAUUCAUCAUCAUACAUUUCAUAUCAUUUUUUUCACCAAAAAAAUAAAUACAAAAAACUCAUCCAUCCUUCGCCCAUAACCUGCAGUUGAUUUCCCGACACUUAUAUCAGACUUAAAGUAGCUCUUGAAAAACCAUGGAUCCAUUGGAGCAAAAUCACAUUGCAUUAAGAGGAGAUGUUGACUCGAUGAAAAACCGGAUAGACCAACUUGUAGAGGCUAUGAUAGCUUUAGAAAAGGGGGAGGAUAACAUUCAGCAGACUGCAGUCAUAGAGAAUGUUAUUCCAGCUCCAGUAAAUGGUCUUACCCAACCUCAGCUUGUGCGAAUCCCAGUUGAUAACUCUAUUGUACAAGAACGUCAUGUUAUUCAAGAUUCCUCACGUCAUGAUGCUGUUGAGUAUCACAGUUUUGUAUUCUCCGUGCCAGAUUCCCAUGGAACAAGCCUUGUGGUUAAUACUGAACAACCACAAGAUGAUGAGAUUGCUAAAAUAUGUUGUGUGCUAGAGAAAAGACUCAAGACCAUAGAAGGACAAGAUAAUGUUGAACUAAAUGCCUUAAACAUGUAUUUGGUACCUAACCUGGUUAUACCCCCAAAAUUCAAAGCACCAUAAUUUGAGAAGUACAAAGGGGAUGGUUAUCCAAAGCACCAUUUGGUGAUGUUUUGUCGAAAAAUGACCGCUCACGCCCACGAUGAUAAGCUAAUGAUUCACUGUUUUCAGGACAGUUUAACUGGGGCAUCAUUGAGUUGGUACAUGAAGUUAGAAAGAAGUCACAUUCAAUCAUGGUUGGACCUAGCUAAUAGCUUCUUGAAGCACUACAAAUAUAAUUUGGACAUAGCUCCUGAUCACAUGCAGCUGAGAUCCUUAUCUAAAGAGAGCAAUGAAUCCUUCAGAGGGUAUGCCCAAAGAUGGAGAGAGUUAGCGGCUUGCAUUGAGCCACCACUCUUAGACAAAGAAUUGAUGGAAUUAUUCAGGGACACCCUGUAAAGUCCAUACUUCGAAAGGAUGAUUAGAACCGCAACAUCAGACUUCACUAACUUAGUGACAAUUGGAGAGCGCGUCGAGAGUGCCCUAAAAAGUGGAAGAAUCCAAAGUGCCUUGAGCAACCAAGCUAGCGAGACAGAAUCCCUCAGCGAUUCCCAAAAGGAAGAGGAUAAUGAAAUAAAUGCAGUCAUGGCAGAUAUUGGGUAUUCUCAUGAUGCACCAGCCAGACCUUAUGGUUCUUCACCUUCUCAGCAAUCACCAUUUCCAACACCACGUUAUCCUUAUAGGCAAUCGGCAAGGCCUAGAGCACCAUUCAAGCAACCAUGGACUGUUCCUCAGACAAAUCAAAGAUCUCGUGGUCAAGGAUACCAGAAUCAGCAUCUGAACCAGCAUAGGCCUCGAAACAAUCUGGAAAGAAGGAAUGCUCCUCUCGAUCCAAUUCCUAUGUCAUACAGUCAACUUCUGCCAUAUCUGAUUCAAAGCUCAUUGGUGGAGCCCAAGUCUCUCAGGCCAUUGUCAGAACCAUACCCACCUGGAUAUGAUCCGGAUGUGCAAUGUGGAUAUCAUGCCGGAACAAUAGGUCAUUCAACUGAAGACUGCAAUGUUUUCAAGGCGAAAGUGCAACAAUUGAUCGACAAAAGGUACAUAUCAUUUUCAGAAGGAAGCUUGUUGGUGCACGUAAAUCUCUCGUCAGAAUGAGUUCAAAGAUUUCAUAGAGUAUCUCCUAAUGCCGGUAGUUCAGACAGGAAGACAUCCUUAACACUGGCAAUCGUUGGACUGAUUUGUUUCUAUUUUUUCAUUUGUAGUUUCUUUGUUGUUAAAAGCUGCUUGUGUUUAAACAUUGUUGUUUUUAAUGGUAAUGUUAAUGAAGUAAUGAUGCAUGUUUUGAAUUAAUUAUCUCGCAUUCGCUCAUUUUUCUUCUCUUAUAUCAAAAACAAAAAUACAUCAGUGUUUCUCCCAUUCACUUUUCUUUAUCAUAACUUUUGUUUAAAUUAUCUCGCAUUCGCUCAUUUUUCUUCUCUUAUAUCAAAAACAAAAAUACAUCAGUGUUUCUCCCAUUCACUUUUCUUUAUCAUAACUUUUGUUUUAGCAAAGAUUUAAGGGAGGAUGACGAAAAUGAAAUACCCAUAAUUGCUAAUAGUAUGCUUUUGGAUAAAAUCUUGCUGAUGAUAUACAAGCAUUGUUUCAAAUCCCCAAACACUGGAGAAAUAAAGAGUUAAUCCCUAGUCAACCACUUCGAGCAUAGAAGUAGGAGUUUCUUUUGGAUCUAAAAAACCUUACAUUAAACCUGGGGCAGGGUAGUGUUCAGUUAAUCUUACUACACAUUCGGAUUACAAGACGAAAUAUCCUGUUUGUGGAUCAACUACAUGACAUUCUUCGCACACAUCCUAAAGUGUCGAAGGAACCUUGAAAAAUCAAAAUAGUUGUUCUUCAAUGACCAAUGACUUGGCAAUCACAUUCUAAAAGAAGGAAUCAAUAAAAAGCCUGCUAAGUCGAUACCCCAAAAGGAGACUUAGGCAAAAACCGGGGCAAUCCCGAUGGACUAAAGCUUAAAAAAGCGGUCCAUGCAAAAGUUAGGGAUCAAAACAAAAAUAAAAGGAGGUCACGAAAACCCUCAACAAAAUAAAAACAAGAUUUAGUGACCACCAUACCAAGAAUCAAAGGGUCACUAAUAUCCAUGAAGAGCAAAAUAAAGUGUUUGUCAUUUCAAGAGAUCUUACACCUGCAAACUCUCUUAAAAGUUGAAUGUGUAUGGCGAAUUAACUGAGCAUAAGACUGGAGUUUAUUAAGAAGGAGGGUGGGUACAUAAACAAUUUUGAGCCUCAUAUCCUUUGUUUAGAUAACCGUGAACCAAGCCACAUUACAACCCUUAAAAGACCUAAUUGAAGUAGGGUUUAUUCCGAAAGCACACUACAUCAAGGUUGCGUAAACUGACUCCUAAAAAUUUGCUAAUCUUUUACUUUGGUACAAUCUUCUUGUUGUAUCCUUCGCAUUGUUAAAUCAUCAUUGCGUUUGGAUUAAAGUGGUUCACUCGUCACACAUUAUCACAUCAUUCAAAUAAAUUCUUUUCAAAACUUGCAUGAGUAUCGCAUUAAAAUUACCAUUUCUGAACAAGCAAUUUUAACUGCAAGUCAGUACUUGACGUCAGGGAAAUUACUUGCAUGAGUAUCGCAUUAAAAUUACCAUUUCUGAACAAGCAAUUUUAACUGCAAGUCAGUACUUGACGUCAGGGAAAUUCCAACAAUAAGGAACAAUUAGAGGAACUUGGACAUUCGUUGGUGCUAACCCGAAUUAAGACUACCUCAUAACCCACGAAUCAGGUGCAUGCCACAUAAACCUCAGUUGAUCAUAGGAAGAUUACUCCAAGAAUUAGCCAGUCUUAAACAAUCUCCAAACAUCUGUUAAUCAGGGGAAAGUCAUUUCAAGAAUCAUUUAAUCCAAAGUAAAUCAUCUCAGAAUUCUAUUAACUGGGGAAGAUCACCUAGAGGUUAUGUUGGCCAGGGGCAAACCCCUUCAAUGUUCAGUCAGGGUGAGUUAAGCCGCUUCAACGCUCAUACUGGGGCAAGCUACCUCAAAAGUAUAGAAAAGUAAACCACUCUGAGAGUCGGUUACUCAAGGAAACAUAUUUUCAUGACUUUAAAUUUUGGGGCAAGCCAUCUCCAAAUUAUGGUACAAUUGCUUUCGAAAUCCUUUCGAGGUAAACGUCCGCAAAGACCCAAUAAACUGGGGCAAGAUGAGCCACACAGGAGCAAGUCAUCUCCCUGACUUCAAGCUGUUCAAGGGAAAUCUUUUUCACACGUCAUCAACUGUAGAGUUCAAGAUGAGUGUUGGUGAAUCACGCUAUCACCCCAUAAAAUAACCUUUUGACAGACAAAAGCCUUUCUGCAAAAAAAAACCUUCUCUUCCAAUACCCGCGCAUGGGCAUUUUGGAAACCUUCCAAUCAUUACAUAAAUCAUCAUCAUGCAUUAGUCAUGUCGCUUUGCUCUAGCAUAAAGCCAUGCAUAUCAUAUCAUUUAUUAGGCAUAACCCCAUAACAUGAACCUGGCAUCAAAAAGCCUUGAAACACAAAAUCUAACACCAAAGCCCAACAUCGCUUGGCCAUUUCAAAGUCCAGUUCUCGUCUGGCGAACUAUAUCAAAAACCAGUUCUUGCAUGACAAAUCAUUUGCCAAAUACCAGUUCUCGUCUGGUAAAUUAUCUCGUAAUACCAGUUCUCGUCUGGUAGGUCACCUAUUUCGAUACCAGUUCUCGUCUGGUGGUCAAUUAUUUUCAGCAAUUCUCGUCUGGUAGCCUACUUUAAAAAUCAGUUCCUGUCUGACAAACAAAAACAAAUUCAGUCCCGUCUGACAUUUUAAUUAUUUUCCCCAGUUCUCGUCUGGUAACAUAUCCUUCAAGUUUUGUCCUCAUUUGGCAGUUCAAUCUUCUUCACCAGUUCUUAUCUGGCAGUUCCCAUUUAAAGUCCAACCUCAUUGGCAGUCAAGAAUAAAACCCUAUAAAAACAUCCAAUUACCCAGUUGCAUUCCCACAUGUAUCAUACGAAUCAUCCAUACAUGGUUUUCCUACCAAACAGAAAAUUUUAAAAAAAAACACAGUCAUAUCAAUCAUCAGCAUACUUAUGCAUAACACUCCCACAAAAUGGGAAUUUCAGCAAAAAUAAAAAUCAUUCUAAUUCCUACAUGCACAGCCAAAUAUCCCCAGCAAAAUUGCAUACUUGCGUACAUCCCAUGCAUGGAAUUCCCACCUAAAGCGGAACAUCAUACAAAAAUCAAAUAUAAAAUAACAAGAUCCAAGGUCAUUCGUGUAUAUCUUGGACAUUCCUCAUUUCCAAAUGAAGUUAUUUCCCUACAUGUGCUCGUAGAAUUAUUUCUCAACAAAUCAUUGUUCAACUUAUGAUUAAAAAUGAUAUUUCCAACAUUUUUCUUUACAAUCAUUGCUCCCCAAGCAGAGGUUACCCUAAAAAGUCUCUUAUGAGCUUUUCACCUACACAACAUUUCUAGUAAAUCUCCCUCAAAAGGAGUCUUUUCAAACAAUUCCCCCAACGGACGAAUGUUUGAGAUACUGCUUCAUUUAUCUGAAGAAUCUCAUUUAUCUGUUUGAGAUACUGCUUCAUUUAUCUGAAGAAUCUCAUUUAUCUGUUUGAGAUACUGCUUCAUUUAUCUGAAGAAUCUCAUUUAUCUGUUUGAGAUACUGUUUCAUUUAUCUGAAGAAUCUCAUUCAUCUGUUUGAGAUGCUGCUUCAUCAAUAUGAAAAGUCUCAUUUCAGAUUUUUUUUAGGGAUACUGCUCUAAUAUCCUCGGAAAGUCUUAGAUUCAAUUAAGGUAUCAUUCCCUUGCUCGGAAUAUCUUAAUUCUAUCAUAUAAGAUGCUGUUUCGACCCGAUACAGAGAAUCUCAUUUUUACUGUUUGAGAUACUGCUUCAUCAAUAUGAAGGGUCUCAUUUCAGAUUUUUUAGAGGUACUGCUCUAAGUAUCCUCGGAGAGUCUUAGAUUCAAUUAAGGUAUCUUUCCCUUGUUGGAAUAUCUUAAUUCUAUCAUAUAAGAUGCUGCUUCGACUCGAUACAGAGAAUCUCAUUUUUACUGUUUGAGAUACCGCUUCAUCAAUAUGAAGAGUCUCAUUUCAGAUUUUUUAGAGAUACUGCUCUAAUAUCCUCGGAGAGUCUUAGAUUCAAUUAAGGUAUUUUUUCCCUUGCUGGAACAUCUUAAUUCUAUCAUAUAAGAUGCUGCUUCGACCCGAUACAGAGAAUCUCACUUUUACUGUUUGAGAUGCUGCUUCAUCAAUAUGAAGAGUCUCAUUUCAGAUUUUUUAGAGAUACUUCUCUAAUAUCCUCGGAGAGUCUUAGAUUCAAUUAAGGUAUUUUUUUCCCUUGCUGGAACAUCUUAAUUCUAUCAUAUAAGAUGCUGCUUCGACCCGAUACAAAGAAUCUCACUUUUACUGUUUGAGAUGUUGCUUCAUCAAUAUGAAGAGUCUCAUUUCAGAUUUUUUUAGAGAUACUGCUCUAAGUAUCCUCGAAGAGUCUUAGAUUCGAUUAAGGUAUCUUUCCCUCGCUGGAACAUCUUAAUUCUAUCAUAUAAGAUGCUACUUCGACCCGAUACAGAGAAUCUCACUUUUACUGUUUGAGAUGCUGCUUCAUCAAUAUGAAGAGUCUCAUUUCAAUUUUUUUUAGAGAUACUGCUCUAAGUAUCCUCGAAGAGUCUUAGAUUCGAUUAAGGUAUCUUUCCCUUGCUGGAACAUCUUAAUUCUAUCAUAUAAGAUGCUGCUUCGACCUGAUACAGAGAAUCUCACUUUUACUGUUUGAGAUGCUGCUUCAUCAAUAUGAAGAGUCUCAUUUCAGAUUUUUUUUAGAGAUACUGCUCUAAGUAUCCUCGAAGAGUCUUAGAUUUAAUUAAGGUAUCUUUCCUUUUGUCUGGAAUAUCUUAAUUCUAUCAUGUAAGGUACUGCUUCGUUGGUCCUCAGAGAAUCUCGUGCGUUCAAAUCAAGACGCUGUUCUGCUAAUGCUCUGAAAGUCUUAGGUACAGUUGAGGUAUCAUUCUAUUGUUGAAAAAUCUCAGCUGUGAUAUCCAAGAUACUGUUCUGACGAUGCCCAGAGAGUCUUAACUAUUUCAUUUUACCUUCCGAUAACCUUUUCUUACUGUAUUUCUCAUUGCAUUUUGUUUCUGCAUUUCUUCCUUGCUUUUCAAAGGACAAAAUUUGGGUCUUUUCGUAUUUAAUUACCUUCCACUACGAAUGUAUGAAGACUGUUGUCAUUCUUACCUUCUAAUUCAAGAUAAUGAAAUAGGGGCAGCUGUCAUACCCCAAUUUUGUCCGGGCAUUUUAAAUUUUCAUAAGUUCGAUUUAAUUUUCAGUUUACAUCAUAUGUAUAGCAUAACAUGCAUUUUAUCAUUAAUAAUACCUGAAAUAUCAGUCAAGAUAAAUUUAUUGAAAAUACAGACAAAUCGGUUGAAUCUUUCCUCAAGUACGGACAAAAUCAGCAGAUAAAAAGUUUCAAAUUUAAAAUUGCAGACGCCAGUAUUAUUAACCUACGGUUCAUGUAGUUUAAACUGGUGUGCCCAUUAUAUUUUUCAGCGACUGUUUCGGUUGCAUUUUGACUCGCCUGAGCCUAUUAACCGGUGAAAAUUUAUUUCAAAAUUAAAAGAAACGCUGUAUUUUUUCAAUAAGUAUAUUUCGCAUUGAUCAUUUUAAUGUAUCCAGUUUAAUUUUUCGAGCAAAUUUUUGCCCGACUUUUAUUCAUUUUCAGUCGUUUUAAUUUUAUUCUUUCGCCAAAAUAUUCGGAUUAAAUACAUAGAAUUUUCCAUGUCCUUAUUUUAUUUUUAUCAUACUCAUUUUAGAAGUUGGAAUUUUUAUUUGAUUCAAUUGAUUUAAAACGAUUAAAUCAUCUAGAAAGGGCAUUUUAGGCAUUUGAAAUUAUUCAAUCAUUUGUGUUUCUUUAUGUGUUUCUUUGAGUUAACCAUGAUCAUUGGAUCAAGGUUAAUCAAUGAUCAACAUUUGCAAUCCUUGUCCAUUCUAAUUUGGCCAAUUAAAAUUAAGAUUCAAAUAAUUAUUAGAAAAAAUAAGAAUAACAAAAAUAUCUUCUCAUUUCCUAUGAGAAGUGGCCACGUAUUAUUUGACAAAAGUAGAGAGCUCCAACGGCUCUCUCAAUAGCCAAUAGUGGGGACAGACUUUCUCCAAGGGAUCCCUCUCCAUUAAAAAGAAAAUACUGUCUCUCUUUGAAAAACAGAUUUUGGGGCUUGGCCAAUAAAAAAGGGCUUGUUGCAUCUCCUUCAACCAUUUUUCUCUCCCUCUGUUUCCGGCGAAAUCUCAUCUUCCUCACUCAAAGUCUCCACCGAUACCACCAUUUAACCUCUUCCUCACCUUCAUUUCCAACCACUUACCUCAACAACACCGAAAAAACCGCCAUCCACACUCUCGCUGCACCAUUCUCACCUCCAACUUCGACCACUGCCGGCGUCUACAAACCGCCGUACAAACACCACCCUACCCUCAUUACCGCCACCAUGAAAUCUCCGGUGAAUGCUAUCCAAAGCAAGCUACAACAACGUAACUCACAUCCCUUUCUUCCUCACACAACCGUCAUACUCGAUCCGCUUUCAAUAACAAAACACCACCAAAAAUCAUCUUCUGCCAACCGCCAUCAAACCGACAUUCCGGCGACACCCUUCACUCAACGGCGAAGUACCGCCGUGACGAGAUCCCUGACAACAACAACUACUCCAACGUCAUGAUUUUGUUGUUUUGAACACUUGAUUAGUUACAAAUUUAUUUCUAUUUUACAGGUCGAAUCAUUCCGGCGAUUUCACUCUCGAAAAACAGUCCAAGAUUCGGCAACCUCCUCAACCGCACACCAACUCCGUCCACCGUCACCUCCGCUAUUGGAUAUCCGGUCACUUUGCAUCCUAAACCUUGCGAAAAAAACUCGGAU